rnacentral:rRNA from 1 species
AGAGUUUGAUUCUGGCUCAGGAUGAACGCUGGCGGCGUGCUUAACACAUGCAAGUCGAACGAAGCGGUCUGGUUGAAGCCUUCGGGUGGAAACCAGACUGACUGAGUGGCGGACGGGUGAGUAACGCGUGGGCAACCUGCCUCACACAGGGGGAUAACAGCUAGAAAUGGCUGCUAAUACCGCAUAAGCGCACAGCAUGGCAUCAUGCAGUGUGAAAAACUCCGGUGGUGUGAGAUGGGCCCGCGUCUGAUUAGGUAGUUGGUGAGGUAACGGCCCACCAAGCCGACGAUCAGUAGCCGACCUGAGAGGGUGACCGGCCACAUUGGGACUGAGACACGGCCCAA